AUGAACGUUGGCGGCGUGGAUUAGGCAUGCAAGUCGAGCGAGUCCACCUUGUAGCAAUACUCGGUGAGUCGAGCGGCGUAAGGGGCAGUAAUACCUGGGAACGUACCCUGAGGUUGGGGAUAGCUGCUGGAAACGGCGAGUAAUACCCGAUGAUCUCGAGAGAGCAAAGGCUUGCCGCCUUCGGAGCGGCCCAGGCGAUAUUAGCUAGUUGGUGAGGUAAUGGCUUACCAAGGCAAAGAUGUCUAGCGGGUGUGAGAGCACGACCCGCGCCACUGGCACUGAGACACUGGCCAGACACCUACGGGUGGCUGCAGUCGAGAAUCUUCGGCAAUGAGCGCAAGCUUGACCGAGCGACGCCGCGUGCGGGAUGAAGGCCUUCGGGUUGUAAACCGCUUUGGUCCGAGAGAAAGGGUAAAACUUGAUCGAUCGGAGAAACAAGGACGGGCUAAGUUCGU
rnacentral:rRNA from 1 species